GCUUGGGAAUAUGCCUUGAGGUGGGGACGAACAGUUGGAACGACUGCUAAUACCGCAUAAUAUUUACGGAUCAAAGGUGGCCUCUCCUUGGAAGCUAUCGCAAUAGGAUGAACCCAAGUGGGAUUAGCUAGUUGGUGAGGUAAUGGCUCACCAAGGCGACGAUCCCUAGCUGGUCUGAGAGGAUGAUCAGCCACACUGGAACUGAGACACGGUCCAGACUCCUACGGGAGGCAGCAGUGGGGAAUAUUGCACAAUGGGCGAAAGCCUGAUGCAGCCAUGCCGCGUGUGUGAAGAAGGCCU
rnacentral:rRNA from 1 species